rnacentral:rRNA from 1 species
AAGGUUGACCUCGGAUCAGGUAGGGAUACCCGCUGAACUUAAGCAUAUCAAUAAGCGGAGGAAAAGAAACCAACAGGGAUUGCCUUAGUAACGGCGAGUGAAGCGGCAACAGCUCAAAUUUGAAAGCUGGCUCCUUCGGAGUCCGCGUUGUAAUUUGUAGAGGAUGAUUCGGCGAGGGCUCCCGCCUAAGUCCCCUGGAACGGGGCGUCAUAGAGGGUGAGAAUCCCGUAUGCGGUGGGUUGCCUUAGCCAUGUGAAUCUCCUUCGACGAGUCGAGUUGUUUGGGAAUGCAGCUCUAAAUGGGAGGUAAAUUUCUUCUAAAGCUAAAUACCGGCCAGAGACCGAUAGCGCACAAGUAGAGUGAUCGAAAGAUGAAAAGCACUUUGGAAAGAGAGUUAAAAAGUACGUGAAAUUGUUGAAAGGGAAGCGCUUGCAGCCAGACUUGUCCGCAGUUGCUCAACCGGUCUCCUGACCGGUGUACUCUUCUGCGGCCAGGCCAGCAUCAGUUCGGGCGGUCGGAUAAAGGCCCUGGGAAUGUAGCUCCUCUCGGGGAGUGUUAUAGCCCAGGGUGGAAUGCGGCCAGCCUGGACUGAGGAUCUCGCUUCGGCUAGGAUGCUGGCGUAAUGGCUGUAAGCGGCCCGUCUUGAAACACGGACCAAGGAGUCUAACAUCUAUGCGAGUGUUUGGGUGUCAAACCCAUGCGCGUAAUGAAAGUGAACGGAGGUGGGAACCCUCACGGGUGCACCAUCGACCGAUCCUGAUGUCUUCGGAUGGAUUUGAGUAAGAGCAUAGCUGUUGGGACCCGAAAGAUGGUGAACUAUGCCUGAAUAGGGUGAAGCCAGAGGAAACUCUGGUGGAGGCUCGCAGCGGUUCUGACGUGCAAAUCGAUCGUCAAAUUUGGGUAUAGGGGCGAAAGACAAUCGAACC